GAUGAACGCUGGCGGCGUGCCUAAUACAUGCAAGUCGAGCGAACAGACGAGGAGCUUGCUCCUCUGACGUUAGCGGCGGACGGGUGAGUAAAACGUGGAUAACCUACCUAUAAGACUGGGAUAACUUCGGGAAACCGGAGCUAAUACCGGAUAAUAUAUUGAACCGCAUGGUUCAAUAGUGAAAGACGGUUUUGCUGUCACUUAUAGAUGGAUCCGCGCCGCAUUAGCUAGUUGGUCAGGUAACGGCUUACCAAGGCGACGAUGCGUAGCCGACCUGAGAGGGUGAUCGGCCACACUGGAACUGAGACACGGUCCAGACUCCUACGGGAGGCAGCAGUAGGGAAUCUUCCGCAAUGGGCGAAAGCCUGACGGAGCAACGCCGCGUGAGUGAUGAAGGUCUUCGGAUCGUAAAACUCUGUUAUUUGGGAAGAACAAAUGUGUAAGUAACUAUGCACGUCUUGACGGUACCUAAUCAGAAAGCCACGGCUAACUACGUG
rnacentral:rRNA from 1 species